rnacentral:lncRNA from 1 species
GGGCUGUUAUUGUUCUAAAAAGCAAACAACAAAGAUAUAUUUUUUUUGUUAAAAGAGGAUAUAAAACUAGUACAAUUCCUCUAUCUAUAUUGCCAAUACGUAUAAAGCUAAUCCGAUUUCAUUUUUCGUUGAAUUUUUUUUAAAAAAUAGCUAGCUAGAUUUUAACUUCUAUAUUAAUUUUAUCUUCGAUCGCUUCACUCAAAUCUUCCUCAAUUAAAUUAUGCUUC